rnacentral:rRNA from 1 species
UUAGUAAACAGAAACCUCGGUGGAAGAUUACUAAUGAGAGUGGCGAACGGGUGAGUAACGCGUGAGCAACCUGCCUAUGACAGUGGGAUAGCCUCGGGAAACCGGGAUUAAUACCGCAUAAAAUCGCAGAAACACAUGUUUCAACGGUCAAAGAUUUAUCGGUCAUAGAUGGGCUCGCGUCUGAUUAGCUAGUUGGUGAGAUAACAGCCCACCAAGGCGACGAUCAGUAGCCGGUCUGAGAGGAUGAACGGCCACAUUGGAACUGAGACACGGUCCAAACUCCUACGGGAGGCAGCAGUGGGGAAUAUUGCACAAUGGGGGAAACCCUGAUGCAGCGACGCCGCGUGAACGAAGAAGGUAUUCGUAUCGUAAAGUUCUGUCCUAUGGGAAGAUAAUGACAGUACCAUAGAAGAAAGCUCCGGCUAAAUACGUGCCAGCAGCCGCGGUAAUACGUAUGGAGCGAGCGUUGUCCGGAAUUAUUGGGCGUAAAGGGUACGCAGGCGGUUUAAUAAGUCGAAUGUUAAAGAUCGGGGCUCAACCCCGUAAAGCAUUGGAAACUGAUAAACUUGAGUAGUGGAGAGGAAAGUGGAAUUCCUAGUGUAGUGGUGAAAUACGUAGAUAUUAGGAGGAAUACCAGUAGCGAAGGCGACUUUCUGGACACAAACUGACGCUGAGGUACGAAAGCGUGGGGAGCAAACAGGAUUAGAUACCCUGGUAGUCACGCCGUAAACGAUGAAUGCUAGGUGUUGGGGGUCAAACCUCGGUGCCGAAGUUAACACAAUAAGUACCCCGCCUGGGGAGUACGUCGCAAGACUG